CCUCUCAGGUUUCCGGCUUGAGGAAGCAUGUUUGGGGGGCUAUAUUGGGGUAGGUGCUCAGACCUCAGUGGGGACUCCCAGGGCCUAAGGACCACAUCUGUUCUCUCCCCGCAGGCCUGCUGGUCCUCGUCAGCCUGGAGGUCUUCCGGCAUUCCGUGAGAGCCUUGAUGCAGAGGGUCAGCCCCGAGCCCCCCGUGGCCCCGGCCCUGACCUACGAGUACUCCUGGUCCCUGGGCUGUGGCGUGGGGCCAGCCUGAUCCUGAUGCUGGGAGGUGGCUGCUUUCUGCUGCUCGCCCUGCCUCCUGGACCCUGGAGUCCCCUCUGUCCCAAGUGGGGCCAGAGGGCCCCCUAGCGCCACCGUCACCAUCCCGUCAACUUCCCAACGCCGCUCCGCCCUCCCCACCAUCCCCUUUGCAUCUUUCACCCCGUGCCCCAGAGAGACUGUGUUCUCUGAACUCUGGGGCCCACGCUGUUUGCACAAACCUGCCCCUCCCUCUCGGUAGGGAAAAGGGGUCACCGUGCUCUUCAGAAAACCUCUGCCUGCUACUCAUCAGCCCCAAAGUCACGUGUCAAUGAACCCAUAGUGAGUGAUGGAAAACCCAGUAUGGAACACAGACAUUGUUACGGAUUGAAUGGGGUCCCUGCAGGAAGUAUGUGUUGGGGUCCGAACCUCCAGGACCUCAGAAUGUGACCUUGUUUGGAGAUGGAGCCUUUGCGGAGGUGAUCCAGUGAAAAGGGGGUCAUUAGUCCGAGCCCUAGUCCUGUAGGUGCUUGUGCUCAGUCACUCAGUGCUGUCUGACUCUCUGCAAACCCGUGGCCCGUAGCCCGCCAGGCUCCUCCGUCCAUGGGCUUCUCCAGGCAAGAAUACUGGAGCAGGUGGCCAUGCCCUCCUCCAGGGGCUCUUCCUGACACAGGAGUGAACCCAAGUCUCUCGCAUUGCAGGCAGGUUCUUUACCACUGAGCCUCCCGGAAAGUCUCCUGGUGUCCUCGUGUGGAGACGAGACUACGACUCUGAAGGCUGACAGCAGGCAGGCGAGGUGAAGAGACGCAGGGAGAAGACGAUCAUCUCCAAGCCUAGGAGAGCUGCCUGUAAGAGACUCCCGCCUCAGCCCUGCAGACGCCCUGACCUCAGGCCUCCAGUCUCCAGCACCCUGAGACAGAGCAUUUCAGGGUCUAAGCCCCCAGUGUGGGGGCUUUGUCAGGGCCACCCCAGCAAGCUGGCACACUUGUCAGUGCCUGGCAGGGGGCUUCAGCUGUAACAAAUGCCUACAAAUGUACAAGUGGCUUUGGAAGUGGGUAUGGGCAGCAGCUGGAGGCACUUUGAGGUGCAUUCUAG
rnacentral:lncRNA from 1 species